GACGAACGCUGGCGGCGUGCCUAAUACAUGCAAGUAGAACGCUGAAGGAGGAGCUUGCUCUUCUGGAUGAGUUGCGAACGGGUGAGUAACGCGUAGGUAACCUGCCUGGUAGCGGGGGAUAACUAUUGGAAACGAUAGCUAAUACCGCAUAACAGUAGAUGUUGCAUGACAUUUACUUAAAAGGUGCAAUUGCAUCACUACCAGAUGGACCUGCGUUGUAUUAGCUAGUUGGUGGGGUAACGGCUCACCAAGGCGACGAUACAUAGCCGACCUGAGAGGGUGUUCGGCCACAAUGGGACGGAGACACAGCCCAGACUCCUACAGGAGGCAGCAGUAGGGAAGCUUCGGCAAUGGACGGAAGUCUGACCGAGCAACGGCGAGUGAGUGAAGAAGGUUUUCGGAUCGUAAAGCUCUGCUGUAAGAGAAGAACGAGUGUGAGAGUGGAAAGUUCACACUGUGACGGUAUCUUACCAGAAAGGGACGGCUAACUACGUG
rnacentral:rRNA from 1 species